rnacentral:rRNA from 1 species
CGAAGGUGGCAAGCGUUACUCGGAAUUACUAGGCGUAAAGGGCAGGUAGGUGGUCCGGUAAGUCUGUUGUGUAAGCUCCCGGCUUAACUGGGAGAGGUCAACGGAAACUACCGGGCUUGAGUAUAGGAGAGGUUACUGGAAUUCCCGGUGUAGCGGUGAAAUGCGCAGAGAUCGGGAGGAACACCAAUGGCGAAAGCAGGUAACUGGACUAUUACUGACACUCAGCUGCGAAAGCUAGGGGAGCAAACAGGAUUAGAUACCCUGGUAGUCCUAGCUGUAAACGAUGCACAUUAGGCGUGAGGGGUAUCGACCCCCUUCGUGCCGACGCAAACGCAUUAAAUGUGCCGCCUGGGGAGUACGGCCGCAAGGUUG